AUAAGCCUGCGGUGUUCGUGUAUGGUAUGUCAUAUUGUAGUUCCAACACUACUGAGCAUGGAAUCUCUAAUCUGCAGGUUGAUAUCAUGCUUCUUUACGAAGUAGAUAGAUACCUGUAUGCGGGAAUCCACCUUUACCAAGGGAGCUCAAAUAUUCAUACCACUACGGCACACGCGGGUUACUA
rnacentral:other from 1 species